rnacentral:rRNA from 1 species
UACGAAGGGGGCGAGCGUUGUUCGGAUUUACUGGGCGUAAAGGGCGCGCAGGCGGCUCAUUUUGUCAGGCGUGAAAGCCCCGGGCUUAACCUGGGAACUGCGUUUGAUACGGAUGGGCUAGAGUUCGGGAGAGGAGAGUGGAAUUCCCAGUGUAGAGGUGAAAUUCGUGGAUAUUGGGAAGAACACCGGUGGCGAAGGCGGCUCUCUGGACCGAUACUGACGCUGAGGCGCGAAAGCGUGGGGAGCAAACAGG